rnacentral:lncRNA from 1 species
CUGAAUCUUGAAGAAGUUAUCCAUCCAAUCUGGAUCAUGAUGUUGAAGCUUUUAUAUUAUUGUGCAAUCAAGUUCACGAAGAAGCGAAUCAAGCAAGAGAAAAGGUGACGGGGCUGAAAAUACAAAGGCAAGAGCAAGCAGCAGCUCGUAGAGAGAAACUUAAGCAGGAUUAUUUAAGAAAAAAGCUGGAGAAACUGAAAGCUAGGACCUCCGUAGCAGAAGAAGAAAAACAACAUGCAGAAGGUAGCUGAACUUCAGCUUAUUGUUCGAUUAUAGGCUCUGACCAGAGACCCGGAGGUCAAUGAAGCAGCAGAGUUGGGGUUUCUUCGGAGGGAAAUACGUGUAUUCUUAGCUAAUGUUGUUACCCACCGCACAGGCCACUUCUCAAUUCCACCAUUCGUAUGAGUCUUCAUCCAUCAAGGUUCAAUCUAGAACAUAACAAUUAGCCCUACCAACAACAUUAGAUUCACAACUAUCACCGCAAUCCUUGCCAGUCUCCUCCACCGAGUAGACGAAGUUUAAACAAGUGGAAAUGAUGCCUCCUGACGACAAAGAAAGUAGCAAGCAAAAGAGAGUUCUGAUUGACUGCGUUGCCUGCUUACAUAUGGAGGAAGGAGAGUUAAUUAUUAUUAUUGUUCUUGUUGUUGGGAGGCUGCUGCUGCUGCAAGAAGUCUUGUCUUUUCCUUAAGGAAUUUCACUUGGUGUUGGAGCUCAAUCACAGGGCCGAGGAUCCUAGCAUUGGCCUGCUGCUCCAAACACCGGAAGGCGAGCCACUACCAUACUAAUUGCUAACAGAAAGAAGCAACCACUAGGAGCCGGAAACAGCGAUGGAGGUUAACGAAUUGAAACAUGGAAAUGAAAUCUAGAACCCUAGCUAUUACAACAACUAACCAAAUCGGAGAAGAAGAUGCAUAGGCCAGAUGGGAAUAAAAUGGAAGAAGAGCUCAAAGAAACAUAGCUAUAAUUAUAUCCUUUUUAACCACUAUAAGCUAGUAUGCUAUAGAGAACAAGAAGAACACAGCAGACGCGUUUCUCCGAUCGAGUAAAGAAAGAAGGAACAACUGACUUACAGGGAUUGGAGGCUAUUGACACACUGUUGGAUUCCGAGCUGACGCAAACAGAAGAGGAGCAGAGUGGAGCACGAGCUUUGCUGGCUUGGAGCAGGGGCGAUUGCAAUGGAGCCUGGAGAGAGACUGGAGAGUAUGGAACAGCGGACUGAGAGUCUCUGAGAUUUGGAUGAUUGCGAUGGAGAGCCAAUGUUGAACUGAGGCCCAAUUUUAGGGUUUGGACUUUUAUGAGAGGUUUUUGAGUUUUUGGUUGCUGAGUUGUCUUGGUUCACUAGGUAUGUUGCCCAAUAGCUCUUAUAAUACAAAAAACUUCAAAAAAAUUGGAAGAGGAAUGAGGUGUAGGUCUAAGAGUCGGUUAAUUCGAUUUCUUUUUAAUUGUGAGAUUUCAUAAUUCCUUUUUAUGUGUAAGAUUACACGAUUCUGCAUUGUUUUUAUUAUCAUUGUAAACCAACUAUGUUCGUU